CCAUUACUUACUUGGUCCAGAGGAUUCAAAAUGUAACAUGAAAACAUAUUUUAGAAUGUUUGUGUUUGAAUCGGAAUGAUGCUGUAACGACAGAAAGUCAGCCCAGACAAAUAUUCCCAAAGAACGAUUUGCUCAUAUUUUACUCUACAUCUGGCAGAUAGAUAAAAAUGGCAAAGGACUGUUUAAUGAAGCAAUACACCAACUUAGGGGAGAACAGUGAUCGACGUGAAAAGCUCAUCUGCGAGGAGAAGGAGAUGUUGGCCUCUCUGGAUAAGGAGAAAACUCUGUUAGAGAGCAGGAUUCAAGAGACGUCAGCGGUCCCCGGUGGCAUCCUGCAGCACCAAGGGGACCACAAACGCGACUUGAAGCACAUCAACGACUUAGAGCGCAAACUCCACCUGGAAACUAUUACAUUUAAUAAGGUUAUGUGCAGGAACACAGAAUACCGUAAAGCAGUUGAACACCUGCUACAGAUGAAAGACUCACUGUGCAAAAGUGAGUCCAACAGACAGUUGGCCCAUCAGAAAAUCCUGUCAGAGAAACUGGAGCAGGAUCUUGCCCUCCUUUUCGACCGGAGGUUACAUGUCGAGACCCGCAUUUCGGAGUUGGAGGAGGACCUCAAGGUGGAGACGGCUCAGUUCAUGACGAGAAGGUCGGCGCUGGAGACGCUCAUCAAUGCCCAACUGCAGAAAUUCCUGAAGACAAAACUCCGUAAAUUUCCUCCUUUGGAAAAAAAUGAAGACUCAACGAAGAAAAAGAACAAAACACCACACCUGAAUGGCGCUGAGAACCUGGAGAUGUACAAGCAGGGCUACAGAACGCUAGUGGAGGUCACCGGGGAGACGGAGCUGUGUCAAAUGGGCCUCGUGAUUGCCCAGAAGGAGCAGAAAAAUGUCACUCUUACCAAGUACAUCAAUGAGCUGGAUAACAGAAAGCACAUGCUGACGAACAAAACCGAGCAGUUAAAGAGUGAUAUCCUGUCCUUGGAAGAAGAGAACAGAAGACAUGAUGAUCAAAUCAAGAAGCAUCUGCAGCCUGAGCUGGAGGAGAAUAGCUGUCAGUCAGAGGCCCUGGAGAAGCAGCACGCUGCGGUUCAGAAGACACUGGACCAGCUGGCGGCCGCCAUCAGCGACCUUUUAGGCGACGUGAUGCGAGAAGUUGUCGUCGUCAAUUCUGACAACAUUGUACACAAUAUCGGUAUCCUUGAGGAGAGAGUUGGUCACCUGCUGCUCCAGGCCAACAAUGCCAGCAACGAGAGGAUUAUGUUACUUCAGAACAUGCUUUUGGCCAACUUUGACUUGCUACCAGGAGAGGAGGAAGUCAUGGAAACGCCACGCAGCAGGUCUGCUUCACGUUCACCCAAGGAAACCCGAUAAGACAGAAGAUGGUGUCGUCUCAUCCUUCCUCCCUCCGCAGGGGUUCAACAGCCUCUCACACAGUCUAGGUGGCAAUAAACAACUCACGACGGCGUUACACACGUUUUCGUUUUUUUUUAGCACACAGAACAAAAACGCCGUCAUUGAGAAUUAAAUGAGAAUUACUUUUUAUGUGAAUAAUAUAUUAUGAAUUUGAAUCACAUAUUUCUUACUCUGAUAUCGAUUUAGUCAGUGAAUGAAUAUCAACGUUUUCUUGGGGGUUACUUUGCAACAAGCCGUCAACAGAUCAUAGCCUGUUCACUCAUUAUGGAUAAAGUUUCAUGUUUCUGGCCAACUGAGGAAUCUUCAAUAUCAGCUCUCCUCUUACUGCUGUUUUGUUCUAUUCCAUCUCCUGAGGUAAAUCCAUUAUGCUC
ensembl:lncRNA